UACGGGGGGGGGCAAGCGUUGUUCGGAAUUACUGGGCGUAAAGGGCUCGUAGGUGGCCAACUAAGUCGGACGUGAAAUCCCUCGGCUUAACCGGGGAACUGCGUCCGAUACUGGGGUGUCUGAUUCGGGAGAGGGAUGCGAAGAUUCCAGGUGUAGCGGUGAAAUGCGCAGAUAUCGGGAGGAACACCAAGCGAAGGCAGCUCGCUGGGCGGUACUGACGCUGAGACGCGAAAGCGUGG
rnacentral:rRNA from 1 species